rnacentral:rRNA from 1 species
UCCGGUUGAUCCUGCCGGACCCCACUGCUAUCGGGAUAGGACUAAGACAUGCUAGUUGAGCGCUUCCAGCCAAUACGGGAGCGCACCACAGCUCAGUAACACGUGGCUAAUCUGCCCUUGGGACCGGAAUACCCCCGGGAAACUGGGGCUAAUUCUCGAUAGGUGAAGAACCUAUGGAAUGAGUCUUCGCCAAAAAGACGUUGCGUUUAUGCUCGUAGACGUCGCCCAAGGAUGAGGCC